CGCUGUGGUAACCUGUGGUAACGUGUGGUAACGCUGUGGUAGCGUGUGGUAACCCUGUUAACCCUGUGGUAAUGUUGUUAACCCUGUGGUAAUGCUGUUAACCCUGUGGUAACGCUGUGGUAACGUGUGGUAACCCUGUUAACCCUGUGGUAACCCUGUUAACCCUGUGGUAACCAAAUCCCACCAGCUGCAACCUGUUCCGUAAUCAAGACCUCUACAAAUACUCAGCCCUGCCACUUCCACGCUGCCAGAUCGUAGCCUCUACUCAGUCAGUCUGCAUUUCUAGCUGUUUGUUCCUAGCCUCACGCUGCUUUUUCUCUCUGCUACAGUCCCGUCUGCUCUGACUCUGGUACCUGUCUCCAGUCCCUCGUCUCUUCAGUCCUGCUUCCUUGCCCUGGAUCCCCGCUCUACUGCGUCAUUGGAUUCUUCUCCAGACCUGCUUACCUGGUUCCUAAUCUCCUUGCCCUCAGCCUCAGUCCGGAUUCCCUACUACCCACCCCAUCUCCUCUCCUGAUAAUAAAUACAUUGGUUACCUAACCUCGUCUCCUCGUCUGAGUCUGCAUUUGGGUUCACCUGCACCGCCCCGCGUAACAGUGUAUGGAUUAUAGUAGACAAACCAUAGGAUUGCAUAGGUCAGAGGGGCCGGGCCACACAGAGGAUAAGAAGAUUGUCUCUGAAGUCAAAUCCUCUUGUUACGUCAUACGUGUGUCUCUACCAUUAAUCAGAGAGAGAGAGAGAGAGAGAGAGAAGAGAGAGAGAGAGAGAGAGAGAGAGAGAGAGGUGAAGAAGGAAGAGAGAGAGAGAGAGAGAGAGAGAGAGAGAGAGAGGUGAAGAAGGAAGAGAGAGAGAGGUGAAGAAGGAAGAGAGAGAGAGGUGAAGAAGGAAGAGAGAGAGAGAGAGAUGAAGAAGAAGUGAGAGAGAGAGAGAAAGAGAGAGAGGUGAAGAAGGAAGAGAGAGAGAGAGAGGGUGAAGAAGGAAGAGAGAGAGAGAGAGAGAGAGAGAGGUGAAGAAGGAAGAGAGAGAGAGAGAGAGAGAGAGAGAGAGGUGAAGAAGGAAGAGAGAGAGAGAGAGAGAGGUGAAGAAGGAAGAGAGAGAGAGAGAGAUGAAGAAGGAAGAGAGAGAGAGGUGAAGAAGGGAGAGAGAGAGAGAGGUGAAGAAGGAAGAGAGAGAGAGAGGUGAAGAAGGAAGAGAGAGAGAGAGGGGUGAAGAAGGGAGAGAGAGAGGUGAAGAAGGGAGAGAGAGAGAGAGAGGUGAAGAAGGAAGAGAGAGAGAGAGGUGAAGAAGGAAGAGAGAGAGAGAGAGAGAGGUGAAGAAGGGAGAGAGAGAGGUGAAGAAGGAAGAGAGAGAGAGAGGUGAAGAAGGAAGAGAGAGAAAGAGGUGAAGAAGGAAGAGAGAGAUAGAGAGAGAGAGCGGUGAAGAAGGAAGAGAGAGAGAGAGAGAGGUGAAGAAGGAAGAGAGUGAGAGAGAGAGAGAGAGAGGUGAAGAAGGGAGAGAGAGAGAGGUGAAGAAGGAAGAGAGAGAGAGAAAGAGAGAGGUGAAGAAGGGAGAGAGAGAGGUGAAGAAGGAAGAGAGAGAGAGAGGGAGAGAGGUGAAGAAGGAAGAGAGAGAGAGAGGUGAAGAAGGAAGAGAGAGAGAGAGAGAGAGAGAGGUGAAGAAGGAAGAGAGAGAGAGAGAGAGAGGUGAAGAAGGAAGAGAGAGAGAGAGAGAGAGAGGGGUGAAGAAGGAAGAGAGAGAGAGAGGUGAAGAAGGAAGAGAGAGAGAGAGAGAGAGAGAGAGGUGAAGAAGGAAGAGAGAGAGAGAGAGAGGGGAGAGAGAGAGAGAGGUGAAGAAGGAAGAGAGAGAGAGAGGUGAAGAAGGAAGAGAGAGAGAG
rnacentral:lncRNA from 1 species